UCAUUGAAAUGAUAAAUAGUAGUUACCGGUGUAUGGGCAGGCAAAAUAAACUUGCGAGAAAAUGUAGGAAUCCAGAAACACGUGGUCGAAUAUAAAUCACUGAUGCUAUGUUACGUCUUACGUUAAACUGGCUCGAAUUACACCGGAUAGAAAUAAAAUCCACUAGAUGGAGUUGUUUACGUAACAGUGCAAGAAACAGUGCUGCGAAGAAUUGAAAUCCCUACGAGAUCUAAAUCCACAAUUCAUAUAGGAUAAUGGGCGUUGGAUGGAAGGUAUUGAUAAAUGCUAAGUGACGGUCAAUGGAUGGUCGAUGCAGCGGCGUCUUCGCUUUGGAAUGUGUUUCGACACGUUUUUCAGUCAGCUCUCUUCCGAGUUUCGCUUCUUCGAUUUAUUCGACGUGGACGUGGAGGUGUCUGCGGACAAGGCGCUUCGCACCCUGUUCGCUUGGAAUUUCCCCAUUGAAAGAACCAGCUAUCGAAACCGGGCAUCAUCAACGCGUUCCGAUCAUCAUUGCCGCUGUUCUUGUCAUCGUUAACGUUGUUCUUUCAAUUCUUUUCAUCUUUACCGAAAAGUCGAUCUCACCGGAAUUUUACUAUAUAGAAUGGAUGACCAUUAUAAUACUUUUAUAAUAUCUAUCAUCCGACAGUAAUAUUAUUCUUCUCAACUGGCAAUAUAAAAAAGUAUCUGGUACUUUAUUAACAUUUAAAUGGAAGGUAUUUAUUGACAUAUAAAAUGGAAUAAUUUCUUUCCUUGUAUACCCAUUAAACUUUUUUAAUGAAUAUCAUUUCAUAUUUAAACUUAAAUUUCUUUACACGUAAUAUGACGAUAUUGUGAAAUGAUAGUUCAUUAAUUCGUUGUAAAGUUUAUUAUGCAGAUGAGCGAUAUGUAGAUAUGAUAAUAUAUUAGAUUUUAUUAGAAGAUAAAUAUAAUAAGUACGUUAUAUUCGUAGAUCGUCGUACAUUAAAAAUUAUUUCUCAGCUUUAAUAAAUUUUUCACAGGAAAAUAUCGAAGACUUUGCAAGCUUUGUGUAUUAAUUUAUGCACGUAUGACACGUGUUACGAUAUGUUUAUCACACCACGACUAUGACUGUAUAACGUAUAUUGUAGCUACGUUUAAUUAUUAUUAUUAUUAGCCAUACUGGAUAAAAAAUGUCUUGAAUUACAUAUGCAUAAAGACAUUUUGCAUCUAAUUUUGUUAAAAACUAAAUGUACGUAUAUAUAAUACAUAUGAUAAAAAAUAU
rnacentral:misc_RNA from 1 species